CGUAGCUCAGUUGGAUAGAGCAACGGCCUUCUAAGCCGUGGGUCGGGGGUUCGAAUCCCUUC
rnacentral:tRNA from 2 species